GUUGGCAUGUGGACUAAUAUGUUGUUGAAUUGUGUUCUUACACUGGUACAGUCAUGCCCUAUGAGAGAUGUAUGACUGCGCAUGUGCGAAAAUAAAUAAAGUGCAUUUUCCCCCGUUCUGGUUAAAACACCAAUGAUGAACAUGUGUGUUUAUUCCUCCGUUAAGUAAACCGGUAUUCCUGUCCUGAAGAUGUCAGCACCAACAGAAACCAAACACAGCCUCGGAUGCGCGUAAUUUCGCCUCGAAUUGCGACCGCGCUUUUGGCAUGCUGUUGACUGCUUCUUUUUAUACAGGGUUUUCGCCACUUGUAAUUGCUCCACGGUAAAUCAAGAUUUCUCAAACAUGUCCUAAUAAUUCGAAAGAUUGCUUAGAAAACCAGGUGUUUUAAUCAGCAUAUGCUUACUUCGAAUUCACCUUUCGCCGAUUAAAAUAAGUAGAGUAAGGUGUUUACAUGACUAUUGCAUAAUAUUGUCACAAUCAGUUUCAUAUCAAAUUAUUACUGUGCAUGUAAACGUACUCACUCGUAACCAAACAAAAAAUACGAUUUAGCUACCAGUGUGAUGUGACACAAACCCAUCGUAGCAAAUGUAUGUCAACUUGCUACUGAGACUAAAUGUUUUUUAUUUAUAAUCCGUUUUUAAAGCAUCCGAUCUAUCGUGUUGCAUUACUGUUGCCAAUUUAACAUGAAUUACCCAUAGCCUACAGAUGCUUGUCUUGUCCACUGAUUUAAUGAAAUAAAACCAAUACAAAUGUU